GAACUGUCUGGUUAAUUCCGUUAACGAACGAGACCUCGGCCUGCUAAAUAGGAAACGCUGUUGACAGCCUUUACCUUCUUAGAGGGACUCUGUGUGCAACCACAAGGAAGUUUCGAGGCAAUAACAGGUCUGUGAUGCCCUUAGAUGUCCUGGGCCGCACGCGUGCUACACUGAUACGUACAACGAGAUUUGCUGCUUCGAAAACAAACUAGGCUAAUCUACAAUACGUAUCGUGCUGCGGAUAGAUCCUUGAAUUUAAGGAUCUUGAAGGAGGAAUUCCUAGUAAGCGCAGGUCAUUAGCCUGCGUUGAUUACGUCCCUGCCCUUUGUACACACCGCCCGUCGCUCCUACCGAUUUCGAGUGAUCCGGUGAAUAAUUUUGGACUGUCGAGCAAUCGCGAAUUAAAGUAAUCCUCUCACUUAGAGGAAGGAGAAGUCGUAACAAGGUUUCCG
rnacentral:rRNA from 1 species